rnacentral:lncRNA from 10 species
GGGAACCGGAGGGAGGACAGCGCGAGGUCCCCGGACAAAGCGUGGCGCAUAAGUCCGGCCCGUAACUUGGUGGGCAGGCAACUUAGGGGAUGUGGGCCUGGUUAUAGCUGAGCAUGCUUUUCUAUUCCUCCCAGACCACAGUUCUUCAGACCUGGAGCCACUUUCAGAGAAGAGUAUAAGUUGCACUGAAUUGAAAAAGGGAAAAGUUUAGGACUGCAGAAGAUGGAAUUCCUGGGGACGUUAAACUGGGCUAAGAUGGAGCAGAUAAGAUUUCCUUAAUUAGAGCAAGACACACCUAGUAUCUAGAGCCUGGAAGUCUUGGUCAAGGAUUCUCCCUAACAUCUCAGUUUCUCAGCACUAACAUUCCUGCUACUAAAAUGAAGUGAGAAAUUAAUUUCUGAAGUUAAGUAAAGAAAUAAACUAAAAUUCCUAGAAAAGAGGUAAGAAGAAUGAGCCUUUGAAAAAUGUCUUCACAAAGACUGGCAUGAUGGCAUGGAAGAAAGAGCCCCAGCUGAAUUUUGGCAAUGGUGACCCUGCCUCAAUCAUGCAAAAGAGAUGAAUGUCCUUGCAAAUGACAAAGGACUAAGAUGGAAGGAGUUUGGAUCUGUGAAUCACUACAUGGAGAAAAGCCAUCUGCUGACCUAGAAACUUACUCUGGAUGAGAUGAGAAAUGAAUUUAUUGUUCUUUAAGAUGCUGAAUUUUGGAGGUUUAUUUUUUCUAUCCACAUAGCCACCGUUAUUAACAUGGGGUGGGAGUCAGAGAGUGACACUAGAAACAGGACUAUUUUAAUAAACCAGGUAAGAGAUGAUGAAUACUGGCCAGGCACAGUGGCUCACGCCUGUAAUCCCAG